CAUCCUCCAAGGCUAAAUACUCCUGACUGACCGAUAGUGAACCAGUACCGUGAGGGAAAGGCGAAAAGAACCCCGGCGAGGGGAGUGAAAAAGAACCUGAAACCGUGUACGUACAAGCAGUGGGAGCACGCUUAGGCGUGUGACUGCGUACCUUUUGUAUAAUGGGUCAGCGACUUAUAUUCUGUAGCAAGGUUAACCGAAUAGGGGAGCCGAAGGGAAACCGAGUCUUAACUGGGCGUUAAGUUGCAGGGUAUAGACCCGAAACCCGGUGAUCUAGCCAUGGGCAGGUUGAAGGUUGGGUAACACUAACUGGAGGACCGAACCGACUAAUGUUGAAAAAUUAGCGGAUGACUUGUGGCUGGGGGUGAAAGGCCAAUCAAACCGGGAGAUAGCUGGUUCUCCCCGAAAGCUAUUUAGGUAGCGCCUCGUGAAUUCAUCUCCGGGGGUAGAGCACUGUUUCGGCA
rnacentral:rRNA from 1 species